UUGCAGGCUGGCUGCGUCGCUGAGGAGCCGUGUGGUACAGGCAAUGUCUGCCGACGCAGAGAUCCUUUGUGGACUGAGCUGCGCUGCUGUAGGAGCCGUAAAGGUCAGAUGAAGUCCCUCAAUGCUGGGGCCCUUUUUGCAGCUAGAGUGCAGCUGAAAGCAAUGUAAAAGGCUUUGCGCGCGAAAGUUUCACCUUAACCGUCUUGUAGUCUCUUUCCUCGUCAGGUCAGAAACUCAGUUUGUGGGGGUGUUUUUGCACUUGUUGCUUCAUAUCCAGAUGUGUUUAAUAUUCUGGCCACCUCAUGUAUGUAAAUAAGAAACCCAUCUGAACACAAUGUAGUGCAACAUCACCUUUAACUAUGACCUCAGUAUUGAAUUUACACAUUUCUGGCCGAUUAUAAACUUCAUUAAAGUAGAAUUCCUGGCAGAGCUGUUGUAUUGAAUUACAUUAGAUUGUAAAGGUGUUCCUAAUAUAGUGGCCACUAAGUGUAUGCAGCCUUCUUACUGUGUUAUUCUCUGGUACUUUAAUGAACUGGCAACUAAGUGUUGCUAAUAUUAACAACAAAUCGAAUAACUGAAGCUAAACGUUGUUUGACAACAAACUUGUAAAUGUAAAGGUAAAUGUAGCCUAACUGACGUCAGGUUAUAGCUAAAGUUGGUGAAGUGUAGGUCACUUAAGCUAGCUGCAAUUAGAGUCGGUUGCGCCAAGAGGGUCCUUAGGAUGGACUGGGCAGCUGGGUCAGAUGAAUCUUCACAGGUUCCUUUGCAGGCUGGCUGUGUCGCUGAGGAGCCGUGUGGUACAGGCAAUGUCUGCCGACGCAGAGAUCCUUUGUGGACUGAGCUGCGCUGCUGUAGGAGCCGUAAAGGUCAGAAACUCAGGACGUGGGGUGUCUGUUAAUGUCUCCUUCCCCGUAGAGCUGGAAACGCAGAACAAGGGUGUGUCUACCCGGGGGACAUAUUUAUCCCUUUCCGAUGAGGAGGAGAUUGAAAUGUGGCGCCUUGCUGAUCCUGGAGUGUGAUUGGCCUCUGUUAUCUGAAGCAACCCCAGUGUGGAACUCAUUUGCAUAGCAUAAAGUACAGUGUUAAAAUAGUGUCUUUAACAUUUUACCCAUGCAUUAUUUCUUUACCAAACCUCUUUCAAAUUAUUAAAGGCAUCAUAGGGAACAGAUAGACACCAAACACGAUAUGAAAUGAUUAAAUCAUCGUCCAUGCAUUUGUUUAUCUGUUAACAGGACUGUCCCAUGACCUGUUGUGUUAACAGUCAGUGACCAUUAACAUAAACUGUGCUUUGCGUGAAGACGGAGUGGAUGUGAUGCAGUUUCAAUCAAAUUAUGGCCUCCAAACAUAGGUCAUGUGGAAAGACUGGAGAUCUACAGCAGCAUUGCAGUCCAG